rnacentral:rRNA from 1 species
CGCACGGUAAACGAUGGAUGCCCGCUGUUGGUCCGAAUGGGUCAGCGGCCAAGCGAAAGCGUUAAGCAUCCCACCUGGGGAGUACGCCGGCAACGGUGAAACUCAAAGGAAUUGACGGGGGCCCGCACAAGCGGAGGAACAUGUGGUUUAAUUCGAUGAUACGCGAGGAACCUUACCCGGGCUUGAAUUGCAGACGAACGUUCCAGAGAUGGUCCGGCCCUUCGGGGCGUCUGUGAAGGUGC